rnacentral:rRNA from 1 species
CGUCUAUAUACGUAUAGCAUAUCAAUAAGCGGAGGAAAAGAAACUAACAAGGAUUCCCUUAGUAACGGCGAGUGAAGCGGGAAGAGCUCAAAUUUGAAAUCUUCAAGGUUCUACCUUGACGAAUUGUAGUUUAAAGAAGUGUUUUCUGUUAGAGGAGUAGGCAAAAGUUCCUUGGAAUAGGGACAUCAUAGAGGGUGAGAAUCCCUGUAUUUGGUUAUUCUUUCUAGCUGUGUGAUACACUUUCAAAGAGUCGGAUUGUUUGGGAAUGCAGUCCAAAAUGGGUGGUAAAUUUCAUCUAAAGCUAAAUAUUGGCGAGAGACCGAUAGCGAACAAGUACCGUGAGGGAAAGAUGAAAAGAACUUUGAAAAGAGAGUUAAACAGUACGUGAAAUUGCUCAAAAGGGAAGCGUUUGACACCAGUGUUGUUUUUCCGAAAAUCAAUUAAGAAGUGGCUUGAUUUUGUGUUGUAUUGACCUUAUCAGCUUUCUUCACUCUUUUUCGAGUCUUUCUUAAUGCACUUUUCGGUUAACAAGUCAACAUCAAUUUCUUUUGUUGUAAAAGGGUAUUUGGAAGGUGGCUUUCUUUUCGGAGAAAGUGUUUAUAGCCUUAUACCUCUACAAUCGGAGAGAUUGAGGUCUGCAGCGUAGAUCCUUCGGGGCUAGAUACACUUGUGCUAAGUUAUAGCUUUUCAUAGACAACUUGUUGACUAUGUUUAGUCAUGUAGCUUACCCGCUUGUGCUAUUUUACCUACGCUUAGGAUGUUGAGUCAUCACACAUCUCU